CGCCGAGUCCUGCCGCUGCCCGGAUUGACCCGUCGACAGGAGUGCAUCGGCAGGAGUGGAGGACCCAAGCACGACGGGUAGCCGGAACGGUCACGCCAUGACCGCGCCGAGCCGCUCUUGGGGUGAAGCCGCGUGAGCGGCCGGGCACCUUUGUCAGCCCGAAUCCGACAGGUCAUCCUUCACAGGCGGUUGACGAAGGGUUG
rfam:Streptomyces sp. DSM 15324 genomic scaffold PRJNA299231_s011, whole genome shotgun sequence.